AAGGAACUCGCUGAACUCAGCGGAAACGCGGCCGUUUCGAACGAGGGCCGGCCUCGAGGCGUGCGGGGCGGCGCUGCCUCAGGUCUCGCUGACUGUUGGGCUUCGGCAGACCUAAUCUGUGAAGAUAAUCGAGGCUCUUUAGCUCUGAAUGCUGCUUCCUGGCACUGCCUGCAAAACCACAGGACUGCCAUUGCCAUAUUUGAUGUUGGCAUUGCCCAUCUACCCAUCUCAAGAACGUUCCUUAUCUACUUUAAGAUCCCCGGAUGUCAGUACUUUCCCAAGGACUGUGUAAGGAAGUGACCAUCCUAAAUUAGUUUUGAUAGUCUUUACUUCAUCAGUUCAUGAGAUAGCACUUAACAGUUACUCCCUUAAAACUCAUCUUUUUCUCUUGAGGGCUAGAAAAAGAUUUUCCUUGUGAAGUGUCAUCAUAGCUUUUCUUAAGGACUUCCAUGGCACCCCUCACUCAUUAGCUGUGACUUUCCUAAGGACCUGCAGAAGGAGACUGUUACAAAACUUGCCUGUUGAUAGCAGCUAAGCAGCUGGUGAGCUAUAUUGUGUGCUCUAUUAGUCUGCACAAAAACAUGUUCGGAUUGCUGUCACCUCCUCCCCAUUCCCAUCCCACCUGUUUGGCUCAUCUGCCUCAUCUUGUGACUUGUCAUCAGUCUGCCUUGUAAAUAGUUUGUGGCAGAAACUUUUUCAUGAGAUACCUGUAUAGGUAUACGCAGAAAGAGGAAGUACCUACCAUGACUGAGCCUGAGCUCUUGGCUGAAGAUUAUGGCCACGAUUCCAAUGCAGAUAAUAAUGCUAAUAUUGCAAGACUUUUUCUCACACGUCUUCUGCAGACAAAGAGCUGUACUGCAGCAAACACUUUACAGGAUGUUACGUUUUUGAAUCCAGCUACCUGUUGUUGAAUUGCUAUAGUAUAAAUUUCACCCCGUCUUCAAACCUUUGCUAUGGCUUAAGCUUUAAAGAUAUUGCUGUAAAUCAGCAGAGCUCUUGUUCCUUUGUAGAGAGAUGCUCAUUUGUACCUACUUGAUUUCACCACGGUCUGUUUUGUUUUACUAAAAGUAGAAAUCACAGCAGUAGAUAUCUCAUUCUGAUGGACAUUUUGUAGAUGCUCAGUGAACAGCUUUUUGCCACUGUGAGAAGUACCAGUGUCUGCAAGUGUUCAUAUUGCAGGUGCUUAGAAAGAUGAUUUUUAAAUGUUCCAGCAUUAUUGUCCUAUGGUAUUUAUUCUGUUGUGCUUCAAAAUUCUUGAGAGAUACUAAAUUCCAUAGCAGAUGGGAACAAAUCUGUAUCACAUUCAACAGAAAAUCUCCACUAUCCUAGUCACUUCUUACUUUCUUAUAGAUAUUUUUUAAAAUAUAAAUGUAGUUGUCUGUACGUGGGGUUUUAUUUUAAGGCGACAAACCCUGUCCUCUUGUAGUUAUAAAACUUUGUUCAAUUGGAGCAGUUUUUUGUUAAUGUCAGGAGCUGUAGCUGCUUGGCAACUGAAUGGAUGUAAGGAACUCUAAGGUAUGACCCUUUCAAAUCUGUGAGAAAGUUAAUGUGAGUUCUGAAUGAAUAUUUUAUGAAAUCUGAGGAGACUAGAACACAGUGUCUGAUUCAAGGGUGCAGUGUUCCUGCAGCAAAUGUUGGAAGGUACCAGGAACUUUAUUCUCUGUUUCUGUCAGAAUAUCAAAGAAAUUAAAAUAGUCAUAUGGAUGAUGAAAUGUAAACCUCCAUAACCUACUAAGAUGGGGUUGCUUAAAUAAUUCUUCCAGUUUUUAGUAUGUUUCUGAUAGGACCUGGAUAGAUUGUGUUAUACGGUGAGAUCAGCUCCGAGCUGACUGAAAGCAACGCUUACAGCAGGCUUUAUUUUGGCCUACACAAAGGUCUGAGAUGUUGCACAGACUGUGCUAUUUCUUAAAGGGUUGUCGUGAAAUACAUUUGGAUCCAAAGUACUUAGAAAAGUACAGUUUGGAUUUAAAUUGCAGCCUUUGCUUUUUUUCUGUGCAUCUUGCAAACUGUUGGAGAAGUAUUGCAGCCUCUUAGAAAUAAUCAGUAUGAUCCCUAGCAGCCCAUGCACAGGAUGGUUACUGUGGUACUGUACUCAGAAAUUGGCCAAAGACAUUGCUUAAGAGAAGGAAAACGUAAAUAAAUCCAAGUGAUGGGUGAGUAUUAUAAAGGGUGCUACAGUACUGACAUAUAGCUUCAUUAUUCAGAUACUUAUGUAUUAUCUUUAUUCUUAAAAGAGUAAUGAUGUAGAAGUGCUAUUUUCCAAAUGUUAAUUCAGUUCUCUGCAGAUGGCAACCAUCUGUUAAAUGACAAGUCCUGUACCAUAUUUGAGUAGCACUUUAUAUAGCUUGGAUGGACGUAUUGGUGCAAUACAUAAAUGGAGUUACCGAGGUGACACCUGGUAGAUUUGUUCGUUUUCUGUUGCUUUUCCGAAAACCAGAGAAUUUCAAAGCUCAGUAUUUUUUGCAUAUCUUCUGUAUGUUGAGUUAAAGCUUGACAUUCACAAGCCAGUCCACAACAUACUCCUGAGAGAGUCACAAUGCUAGGAAAUACCUUUAAAUUACAACAUAACUAAUUAUCAAGGCCCUAAUUCUACAGUGUCACCAUGUGGAUGAGCUCUUACAGAUACUCACAGGAAACACUGCAAGCUUUUAUGAGCCUCAGGAUCAUCAUGGCUUAACAAGCAAACAGCUCUUGGAGCUGCCAGUACUCCGUUAUUUUCUGUUGUUGCUUUUUUUGUUGUUUGUUUUUUGGAGGGAGGGUGGUUGUGCCUGGUUUCUUUUUUCUAGGAAAAUAGUAGCACUGUAUUACAAUAUAGCUUAGUGUUACAGGAGUAAAGUGAUCUUUUCUGCAUAUUUGUUUGUUAGCCAAGCAAGUUCUGAUCCGUUUCAUAUUGUUUUUUUCUAAAGAUUUUUUCAAGUUAUGGUGCUAAGUUUUAAUUCACAUGCCUUGCUUUUGUUGUUGUAAAAUUGCCUUAUGCUUUUAUUACUGUGUUUUUGAUAAAAUUCAGUGAGUAUCCUGACUUGUGU